rnacentral:rRNA from 1 species
GAUGAACGCUGGCGGCGUGCCUAACACAUGCAAGUCGAACGGAGUCCAGCCUUUAAGACCUUCGGGUCAAAGAGGGGAAGACUGAGUGGCGGACGGGUGAGUAACACGUGGGCAACCUGGCUCAUAGAGGGGGAUAACAGAGAGAAAUUUCUGCUAAUACCGCAUAAGCACACCCUGCCGCAUGGCAGAGGGUGAAAAGAGAAUCGCUAUGAGAUGGACCCGCGUCUGAUUAGCCAGUUGGCAGGGUAAGAGCCUACCAAAGCGACGAUCAGUAGCCGAUCUGAGAGGAUGAACGGCCACAGUGGGACUGAGACACGGCCCAAACUCCUACGGGAGGCAGCAGUGGGGGAUAUUGCACAAUGGGGGGAACCCUGAUGCAGCGACGCCGCGUGAGUGAAGAAGUAUUUAGGUAUGUAAAGCUCUAUCAGCAGGGAAGAUAAUGACAGUACCUGAAUAAGAAGCCCCGGCUAACUACGUG